GAUGAACGCUGGCGGCGUGCCUAAUACAUGCAAGUCGAGCGAACAGACGAGGAGCUUGCUCCUCUGACGUUAGCGGCGGACGGGUGAGUAACACGUGGAUCACCUACCUAUAAGACUGGGAUAACUUCGGGAAACCGGAGCUAAUACCGGAUAAUAUAUUGAACCGCAUGGUUCAAUAGUGAAAGACGGUUUUGCUGUCACUUCUAGAUGGAUCCGCGCCGCAUUAGCUGGUUGGUAAGGUCACGGCGUACCACGGCAACGAUGCGUAGCCGACCUGAGAGGGUGAGCGGCCACACUGGGAGUGAGACACGGUCCAGACUCCUACGGGAGGCAGCAGUAGGGAAUCGGCCGCAAGGGGCGGAGACUAGACGGAGCAACGCCGCGGGAGUGAUGAGGAUCUUCGGAUCGGAAAACUCUGUUAUCAGGGAAGAACAAAUUUGUAAGUAACUAGGCACGUCUUGACGGUACCUAAGCAGAGAGCCACGGGUAACUACGGG
rnacentral:rRNA from 1 species